rnacentral:rRNA from 1 species
GACGAACGCUGGCGGCGUGCCUAACACAUGCAAGUCGAACGGAGUGUUUCGCUGAAUUGAAGGAAGCUUGCUUCUGGAUUUUCUUGAAACACUUAGUGGCGGACGGGUGAGUAACGCGUGAGUAACCUGCCUUACAGAGGGGGACAACAGUUGGAAACGACUGCUAAUACCGCAUAACGUAUAACCGAGGCAUCUCGGAUAUACCAAAGGAGCAAUCCGCUGUAAGAUGGACUCGCGUCUGAUUAGAUAGUUGGUGGGUAACGGCCUACCAAGGCGACGAUCAGUAGCCGGACUGAGAGGUUGAACGGCCACAUUGGGACUGAGAUACGGCCCAGACUCCUACGGGAGGCAGCAGUGGGGAAUAUUGGGCAAAUGGGGGAAACCCUGACCCAGCAACGCCGCGUGAAGGAAGAAGGCUUCGGGUUGUAAACUUCUUUACCAGGACGAAGACGUGACGGUACCU